AGAGGCACAUGUGCACUCGUGUGGACGCGCCUUUAUAGGCUAAUUCAGAGAGUCAUAAGCAACAGUCCCUCUAUCCUGUCCUCUACUCAUAGUUAUAUUGGUAUUAAUCUCAAGUAGCGUUAUUAACUUGAACAAACUAAUGCUGGAAUGGUAUAUACUUUAGCACCCUUUCUCAUGGGGAAUGCUUACUUGUUUACUGAUGUUCUUAUUAAAGCUUAUGGUUUAUUUCAUCAAAAGGUAGAAAUAGCAGAAAAUAAAUGUAAUGUUAUGUUUGAGUGCUGGGUUUUCCUAAGGUUUCUCUUAAGAGCUGGUCAUUAGGAUAUUUCAUUUUACCUGCUUUAGAAGUCCUUUUUUAAUCUUCAUCUUAAGGAGUUCCAUGUGCCUUCACUUUUUUAGGAAACCAUACAUCUGAAGAUGCUUUGGUUAAAUCUCCUUUGUCAUUUUUUUCAUUUGUGCUGUUUUGCCAGUCCAGUGUAAUGGCAGUGUUACAGAAAUGGAAGAAAAAUAUUAAAAUCAAGGACAAAUGGAUAUAUUUUCUAGGGUAUAAAAGGCCCUAUUCUGAUAUAUUUCAGGUUCACGCGGAGGUAACCCUACAGACUUCAGUGUGUAUAUAACUGGAGCAGAAUGUGGUCCACUGUAACUUUGCUAAAACAAGCUGAUAGAAGCUUAUGGCUGAAAGCUGAGUUUCCUUCCUUGAGUAUUACUUUUUGUUUUAUGAUGCAGUUAAUUGCUAAAGGAGGGUGAGGAGAAACAAACUUGUUUUAUGAUUAUGACAAUGGUACACUGUAUUUAAACCUUGGUACAAUAUCAAUAAGAAGACAAUCACAGAAUGGAAGUUUACUGAGAUGGUGAACAGUAAUUAAAUUCUUUGUCCUCAGUGUUGAAUUGAAGUAAAGUGCUUUCCGUAUUUUCCCCUAGAUUUGGCUUUGAAUUUUGACCUUCAAAACUUAGUUUGAGACCCAUUUCUUUCUCAGGCCUUUGCCUCAGGGAUAUAUAUGGGUGGGGGAAGGGAUGUAGAGCUUUUUGGUGACUGGGAGUCUCUCUACGGCAGUCUCUUUAUAAGCAUUUACAAAUAUUAGUCAUUGUACCAACAUCUACAAGAAGAAAUAUUGUGUCUGAAGUAGGAAAAAAAAUACAUAAAAGUCAGAGGUGUGGAAAUUAAUCCUUGUCAUGAACUAUUUAAAAAACAAGACAGUGCCAGCCCCGCCCCACUAAAAGACUAACUCACUGAUGCAUGACACACAUGGCAUUCAUAGUUUUAUUAUUAAUGUCAGCUUAUCCAGGGUUCCAGCUAGAGUAUGAAAUUAAAGGUGACCUCCAAAGACUAUCUAAAAAAUUUGGCCCUAUGCCUUUUGUGGCUGCUUUUUGAGGUGCAGAAGAAGGCUUGCUAUAUUUUUGUCUUUUUUUAAUUAAACAAUUCUUUCCUUUUUCUCAGAAAUGUCUGGAGAACCAGGUCUAAUCUUUCUGGGAUGGAGGGGGAGCUUUCCAGCAGCUCAGAGAUGAGCCCACUUGAAUAAUUCUCAUCUGAAUCACUUACUGAAUCUUCUACUGUUUUACUAGGUUCCCAGUCAUUGUUCAGCCUCCCAGCCUAGGUGGAACUUUACUUUCUAAUUUAAAAAAAAACAGGUUUUUUUAUUUUUUAAAGUGAACCCAGCCCUUCCAGUCCAUAUUGAUCCAUCACAAAGAAGCAGAUACAGGCACCAUUUGGUUCCACUGCAGUUCACUAUUAGCAGCACAUUGAGGUGAGCAGGAAGGAAUUUUUCCAUACUGCUUUUUUCUCUAAGAGUUUUCCAUGUGCUGAGAUUAACAGAGUAAUAAUUCACCCAUUUAUGUGCUGCAAUAUCUCCAGCAAGGGUAGCAUUUUAAAAUUAAAUAAAAAUCAGGUUGACUCCAAACCAAUUAAAACCUUAAAAUUAGUAUUUUUUUUUUACUUGCCUCUCUUUCUAAUGAUUUUUAUGAUGGGUGAUAUUGGACAGCAUCCUGAAAAACGCUCCCUUAAUGGGACCCGAGUCUUACAGGAUCAAUCCUUUGUUGCUUAUAAGGCUUGUUAGUUCACUUUGUCUUCUGAGUAAAAAGAAAAUCUCUAGUCUUAUAUCUCAAAAUAUUGAUGACAGUGAAAUAAAGAACCCUGAACUGGAUUCUGAGCUCAGUCCAUGUCUGGACUAAUGUCACAGACUGUUGUUGUUCAGAGGCCUUUGAACCUGCACAACUGAUGUCAGUGGGAAUUCAACCACUGAGUUCAAUGGAGCUCAAAGAAGGCAAUUGUCUGAAGGUUAAGCUUGUAUGUUGCGUUUGCAGGAUCAGUGCCUUGAUUUCUGUCUAUGUUUAGAUUCUUAUGCAGCCUCCAUCACUUUAGUAUAUGAAAGUCUCUAAUGAAUUCAUCCUUACAAUACCUCUGUGCAGUAAGCAAAUGCUGUCAGCCCCAUUUUACUGUUUAGAAACUGAAGCAAAGGGCAAAGAGAGAUUAAAGGCUAGAGCCACUAGAGCAUUGCAGCACCUAGAUUUUAGGUGUCUAGCUGCCUAGUGGAAUCCAAAACCUUUAGCUCCUUAUAUCAGGGUUGUCCAACUUCUAAGCAGCCAGGUGUCACAGCAGUAUAAACAAUUUCCCCCCUGGGCUGUACAUCACACUGGCAGGCACCCCCCAGCCCCUGCAUUGUACACAUGGGUGCCCUGUCCUCAAAUUCAGCUUCCUGGCUGCAGGCUGUCCUGCUGCGUUGUGCCAUGCAGACACCCUAGGCUGCAGGUUCCCCUGGCACUACAGGUUGCACCCACACUGCUCCAUCCUGUCCCUGGAGUGGGGGCAGGAAGUAGAAGCCAGAGGAGAGAGGGAGAGCCUGGACACCCGGGCUGCUGCUGUGGCUGGAAAGAUGGGGCAGUGGGAGCAGGGAUGGGGUGUGAGGUAUAUGUGGCAUCCAGGCUGCCAGUUGGACAGCCUUGCCUUAUACAAUACAUGGGGAGUAUCAGUUGCCUAAAAAUGGAAACCCCAAAAGCCUGCAUGCUGAACACCUCAACAUUAACCAGUAAUGUUACCUCUUCUGCCUGAGGGGACUUGAACACUUGCCUCCCAUGGGAUGCACUAAGCACCAGCUUGUAGAGUUUUCAGAUAAAGUACUCCAUCCCACCUGUUGAAGCUGUUCCACUGGGGUAGAGAUAUGGAGAGUGAAUGAGUACAAGAGCCUUGCUCAGGGGACUUUGCACAGGGCCACCUCUGGUAGGAGUGCUCAGAGAAUGUCUACCAGCCUGGGCAGGUGCCUAGUUUGUAGAUCCCACUGGGGCUAUGUCAUGAGAGAUGUGGCAAGCUGCUCAGCACAAGGAGUGCUCAAGUUCACCCUCAAGCAUCAGGCAACUUUAGUGUCAGAAUCAGAGGUUCCACAGUGUAUAGACUGUCAGUACCACCAGGUUUGGAUGGCACCUGUGGGGAGGUUUUGAAAAUCUUUAUAUCCUAAAGCAGUUUGGUGCCUGUCCCUCAUUAGAGCAAAUAUUGAACACAUAGUUUGAAAGCCAAGUGAAUGUUCUAACAAGUGGGCAUUCCUUCCCCUGUACUGCAAUUUAUUUGUGAAAAUGUUUGUAUCUUUCCAUGGUCAUAUAUCAUUUCUGACUCAACUUGUUUCCAAAAUAACUGGCAUGAGACAAUCUGCCAGGACUACGGAAAGCCCCUUGUCCUGCAUAACUCCCAAUCUGACCUUUCAUACUCAGCCAACUAUGGAGAGCUAGAGAAAGUGUCAGGCCCUCUAAGCAUUCUCUCUGGUUAAUAUGAGAAUAAAACUGCUUUCUGAAGCAGUUAACUAACCAAACCAGCUGUGCUGGGUGUGUGUGGAGUGCAAGCUGUGCAGGGUAACACUAUUCAUCUCUGUUCCUUGCAAGCUUCAUACUGCUUUUUUAUGCAUCCUCUGUCUUCACUGGAAGUCUGAGGCUUUCCUGCCCCCACAUCCUGCUAUCUGACCCUCCUUUUGGCUUCAGUUCCUGCAUGAAUGAAAUGCUAGAUCCAGGGCAAAGGUAAUAGGAGGGCUUCAGUUUGUUCAGAUCAUAAUUACUAUUUGAUGAGUUAAAGGGCCAAGUCAUAUUUCUGUUGAAAUUGCUGAGAGUUUUACUGAUGCUUUGUCAUAGCACAUUCUGACCACCGAAGCAGAGAUCAAAUUAAGGUGGACUUAAUCUGUGUGGCAUCCAGGGACCCUAAAUAGUUGAGGUACCAACACAACAUACUAUCUCACAAUCCUUCUGUCCUUGCACUGGUGCAUGAAUCACAUUGUAAAUGCUUGGUUCCAUGGGAGAUGUGCAUAUCCGUUAAUUAAAUUUAUGAUAUAGCUAUUAAACAUUACUCAUUAAAACUGUGGUUCUCAAUCUUUUUAGACUCAGGGCACCCCUCAGAAAAUGCCAGCUCUUAGUUUUCACUAAUUUGUUUAUUAUGGAAAAAUAACACAGCAGUUUUUCUGUUGCAAAGAACUCAAAAUGAUCACAACAUGUCAGAAUUCUUAACACUGUAGUUCCUUAUUUGAAAUCAUUGCGUGCAUCCAGCAGUGGCACAUAGUUGUGCUGCUGCUGCUUGUGCCCAGGGAAUGCUUGUGCAUGUGCACUCUGAUGCAUAGUAAGUUGCCCCUGGUGGGGUAGGAGGUCCUGGGGGCUUUCCAGGGCUCCAGCAGUAGCGAUCUGGCAUACAGAGCCUGUCUGGCAGCUAGAGUGUGGCUCUGGGCAGGCAGGCUCUGGUUUUGGGUGGCACAUGCUGCCACCAUGUGUGCCACCUCACUUUUUUCAGAUGUGAGGUUUUUUUUACACUGGAAUCUUCCGGUGUCAAAAAAACCCACCAUGAUGCUAAUUAGCAGUGCAGCAAAUACCUACACGUCCAGUGCAUGCAGUUUGCAGCACCACAGAUGGGUUUGUGGCGCCACAUAGUGCAUGUGUGCACUCAUCUGGAUGCAUCCAUUGGGUUUACCUUGUGAAUCAUGUUUGCACACCUAACAGUAAUAAAGUUGUGUGGCAACCCACAGCACCCCUCAAAGGAUCUCAAGGCACCCUAAGGUGUCACAGCACCAUGGUUAAGGAUGGAAUGGGGCGGAGGGACCUAGUUUCUAUUCCUGAGUCAGUGGUGGGGAUUGUUCUCUUGUGAAUAGGGCAAAGCAGGGCUUGUGUAUUCUAGUCCUGGUUUUGAGAAAAUAGAGAAAACUAGUACUUGGCAUAGAGGACUAGCUGUCAGAAUUCCUAAUAGCUGUUGCUAGGUGUAAAAAAGGGCAUGUCUUCAACAUCAGAGGAGAAAAUGCGAAGAAGUCAGAAUCUCCAGAGCCUUGGUUCUGAGGCAACCAGCCAGCACCUCAUCCUCCUCUUAGCAGGCUUGUUUCAUCUGUAUCCUUCAAGCUGCCUGAUUCCCAGUCUCUUGCUCUAACCACUAAACUUGUAGGAAAGAAUCUGGCCCUCACAUCUGUACAUGUUUGGCAACAAUUAAAUCCAUACAAAGGAUGUACCACCCGAAGCAGAGCAGUGCUCUUUGAAACUGUCAUAAAGAAAACAUUUCUCUGCUGAAAUGAAGCUGAGUGACCUAGUUCAGCUCUAGCAAGAGCUCUUCAAAUGCCUCACUCAGCAGACACAGUGGUGGGUCAGGCUGUGGCUGAAUCAUCACUUUUAGUUCAGCAGAGGUUGGAGCUUUCACACCCUUUUGAUUUCACGGUUUUUUUAUUCAUGUUACACUGAUUAAAAUAAAGUUUUGAAAUAACUGGAGGAACCGGGUGUCUCCUUUUCUUAACCCUUUUCUUGAAUACAUCACACCAAGGGAGUUAACUGUGUGGUUAACAAGUCCUUGUCCAUUCUAUUGUUGGGUUACAAUUACACAGCUUGGAAGGAAUCUUAACAAGACAGCUGCCCUGAGUCUUAGCAAUCACCUUUCCUUUGUAGAAACAGCACAUCAUAAAUGAUUCAUCAUUCUAAACAGAUGAGGGCCAAAAGCUUCACUGCCUUGUACCCUGUGGAACUCCAUUUCUUUCUUAACACUCCUCAACAUUGUAGGCUCCUGCUCUCAAUUACAAAAGGUGAAUGCACCUUGUGUCCUAUGGCCAGGGUUUCUCAAGGGAGAGAUCUAUUUGUGAAGCCAGGUGAUGACUGAAGCAAAGAAAGGAUCCUUCAUGUACAGAUCUCUGCAUCUCCAUCCAUUAUUUAUCCUCAUCCCCAGCUAGAUGAUAGAGAAUCCCUCCAUGUUGUCUGGGGUCAGAGUGCUGGGGGAGGGGCUGCUAACUGAGCAUAGUGCAGAGGUGGGGGAAUCAUUCUUCAACUUCAUGCCAGUUAAACACACACUUAGGGAAGCAAAGGCAGUCUGAUCAGACAGGACAUCAGAAUAGGAGGAUUUCUUAUCUCCAACAAUGGUGACACCUUGAAUUGGAGAAGUGAUUCAAGGACACCUUGAGGCCAGCCUGAAGAAAUGCAGUAUUAGUAUCAAUAGCGGGGUCCUGAGAGUCAAGCACUGAAUCAUCCCCAGUAGUGCCAUGAUGUACAACAAAGCACUGAUCAUUCUUAGCAAACUUACCCUUCUCUGGGGGCAGAUAGAUGAGAGAGGGAAAGAGCUGUGAUUCAACAUCACCAGAUUCGCUCCUGCCUUUUGAAACUAUUUGCCACAUCUGCAAUAAAACAUGCCAAUCUUGAACUGGUCUCAUCAGUCAUCUACAAACUUACCGAUGACCUCUAUUUACUGGAAGACUGUCAUCCUUGUAUUGAGGGGCUGCCAAUGACAAUAGCAUCCUUUAACUGUCUUGUCAACUUACAAGUCACUUAGGGAGCUACACAUUGAUUGAGGAGAUACUGAAGAGAGGGUAUUUACAAUCAGUUCUUAACAAUUUAAGACUUUGAUACCUCCCAGUCUCCCCAGGAUGUUUACCAGGUUCUUGCUGCAUUUCAGGUUGGGCCUGACCAUCAAGAAAUCCCUAGAGGGUUUUCCUUCCAUCCUAAAACAUCCAGGAAGUAUAUAGCUUAGCCCACACAACAUCCACUGUAAAGACUAUGUGGUAAGUCUCUGUCACCAGAGAGGUGACCAAGCCUGCUACUCCUCCUCGAAGAACUGGAGAAGGAAGGUUGCAAAUUAGACCUCUCAGUUCCUGGUAAAGAUGAGAGAAAAUAUUUGAAAAAAGGGCAGGGCCUCUUUUGGAUCUUGUCUGUAUAUCUGAAUUCCCAAUAUUUUGAAGCUUUGCAAAUGUGUUUGGAAAUUCAAAGUAAAAUUGGCUAAAUUUACUCACUCUGCACACAAGACAUCCUGCUUCUUGGGGAGCCCCAGCCUCUCCUCCAAACUGUGUCAGGGACAUUCUUGUGGAUUCUGGCUGCCUUACAAGAUCCCACUGCCUUGGCAGGAGUCACGUGCCUCAUAUCAUCUCACCUCACCUCCUUCAUAGCCCUUUCCUUUGUGCCAUGAUUUUGGUUUUGGAAACAGAAAUGCAGUGUUUCAGGAUAAAAUACAAGUGGGAGUAGGCUAAUCUCUCAAAUGGAAGGAAGGCAGACUCUCCCUAUUGGCUGUUGUCUUUGUCAACUCCUGUUUAUUGUUAGUGGAAAGUGACAGUGUAUUUAAUCUUGUGGUAGGAACAAAGUCCCCCUUUAAAUACAAAGCCCUGCCUUAGUAGAGCAGCUCCUCAGAGAAGGUUGCCAGCAAAACAGCCAUGGAAGUUCUCAUUUAUUUUUAUGCCUGAUGCUACUGUCAAAAUCUUUGUUAAAAAUUAUUUUGAAUAUUUAAUAAAUAUAAUUUCAAUAUUGUGA